GACGAACGCUGGCGGCGUGCUUAACACAUGCAAGUCGAACGGAAAGGCCCAGCUUGCUGGGUACUCGAGUGGCGAACGGGUGAGUAACACGUGGGUGAUCUGCCUUGCACUCUGGGAUAAGCCUGGGAAACUGGGUCUAAUACCGGAUAUGACCUCUGACUGCAUGGUUGGGGGUGGAAAGCUUUUGCGGUGUGAGAUGGGCCCGCGGCCUAUCAGCUUGUUGGUGAGGUAAUGGCUCACCAAGGCGACGACGGGUAGCCGACCUGAGAGGGUGAUCGGCCACACUGGGACUGAGACACGGCCCAGACUCCUACGGGAGGCAGCAGUGGGGAAUAUUGCACAAUGGGCGCAAGCCUGAUGCAGCGACGCCGCGUGGGGGAUGACGGCCUUCGGGUUGUAAACUCCUUUCGCCAGGGACGAAGCGCAAGUGACGGUACCUGGAGAAGAAGCACCGGCCAACUACGUG
rnacentral:rRNA from 1 species